CCCCAAAACUCGAAUUAUUAAAUUCGUUAGUAGGUUACCUUGGGUAAUUAGAUGAAGUACAACAACUAAGUUAUUAAACUUAGUUAAAUGUCUAAUAAAUAAGUAAAGGAAUGAAGUUUGUGGCAACUAUGAUGAUGUGUUAGAGUUGAGGGACCUAGAUUGCCAUAAUGUAAACUAAAACUUAAUAAAAAAAAGAGAGAAAAAUAAAACCACAACACACACUGUGCGUGUGUGUGGUCGAUCGCACAAGGCAGAGGGAAAGGGGUAAACCCUAAUUCUCAAGAAAUCUCCAAAUUGAAAAGGGAAUUGAAGGUUUUUAGGAUGCAUGUAGCAAGAUUAUCGAUCUCCUAAGUGUUCUUCACUAUCAAGGACGUGUCAAGGAGAGGUCAAGCAUAGGAGGAUAACGGGUCAAGAUAAGGCAAGGUGACAAAUACACUUAAUGGAGUACUCGAGGUAAGUGAAUUUCGAUUCACUUUUUAGUAGGUUUAAUAGAUUUUAAUACUUAUGUUUACGAAACAUCAUGAAAGAACAUGUAAUAAUCAGAAGUACAAAGCCAAUAAUGCCUCAUUAUUGAGGAAGGUUGUAUUAAGCCGAAAGUAAAUUGGUGGGUUUAAACGGGUCGAAUUUUAUGUGCAUAUGUUGCGUAAUGUAAUGAAAUUUGUUAUGGUUAAGACCUUGGGUAGGAAUUUUUAGUCAUUAUGUAAGGGGAACACUUCCCGGACCAUUAGGAACAAGUUUUAUAUGAUUCGGUUGUCGGUUAGUUAAUGAACGGAUUGUUUCAUGUUAGUGUAGGAAAUUUUAUAAGUAUAUGUGUAUAGGAACCCAAAGGGCACGUGGGUUGAAUCAUAGAUUGUUUAUACUAUGUAAAGUUGUGAAUGUGACAUUCCGGCAUAAACCUACAUGUAAAAGAAGCUUGUGUAUAUAUUCGUGAUUAAUUGAUUGUGCGUAGGAAGGAACAUUGGCAUGUAUGAAGGUACGCAUGUAUAUGUAAGUGUGUAUAUAUAUAUAUAUAUAUAUGUAUGUAUGUAUGAUAAUAAGUACGUAGGUGUGAAUGUAUGUGUGAAUGAAUGUUCAAUGCUUAAGACAUAUGCAUGAACGUUAUCAAAGUGUUUGAGUAUUUAUGGUUACUAAUGAUGUGCGUUGAGUUGGAAUGUAAUGUAGGUAUGGGAUCGUUGGCUUCAUGAAGAAAUGGAGCUGGAUUUGGAUAAGAGUAUUUAAGAAAGCGCUUGGACAAUUCCACGACUACUUUAUAGAAUGCUCUACGAAAUUCUAUUAUAUAGUUUAAUGUUGUAUGGUAUGUUAAUGACUAAUGGUUUGGUUGUACGUGGUGUCCACAGGUAUCGCUUGGGUUUUCUCUACAUUUAUCGAAGUGAAGCGGACUUAGUUCGAGUUGAGAGCAAGGAUUGUACGGGGUAGAAUGGUCACAUAGUGUAACUCAUAUAGAUUUUGAAGUAUUUGAACCUUCAUGUGUUUGAUAUGUCUAUUAAAGAACGAAAUUUUUGGGCUCUUGGUUUCCGCUGCGUCGUAUUUUAAGUUAUUAUACGUUAGUCUUACAGGGAAUUGUUCUUAUUACGAACGGGUCAUGCCCGAAUUUUGUUAAAUAAUAGUAUGAUAAUAUUACAUUUUGGAAUGUGUAAUUUGGGCGUUACAAGUUGGUAUCAGAGCCCUGGUUUGAGGGAAAUCAAGUAUGAGGAGGCAAAUACUUGAACUCAAACCUGUGUGCUCUUGUGACGAGAAACCCGUACAAUCCAAGACUCGAUCAAGAUCUAAAGGUAGAAGCAAAUGUAAGUAUGAAUUUAAGUAUGUUUAUGAAGAAACUAACAUUAUGUUGUGUGUAAGAUAAGCAUAGUUGUUUGGAUGAGGAUGAUCCACGACUGUGGUCUCGGACUGACACCAAUGCAUGUAAUAAGACCAUUGCCCAGGUCAGUGAAAGAAUGGUCAUAAGCGAAAGCUCGUCACACGGAUAAACGAGGUCGAUACGAAACAUGGUAUGGAUGGGGACGAAGAGGACCGACUCGUUGCUGCAUGUUCAAGUACUGCACCAAGGUAGUAAGGUUAGCAAAUUAUUUAAUAUAUGAAGGUACGAUGCUCGAAUCCCUCAAACCUACGCUCUCGUGAAAGUGUGUUCGUUUCUAAGCGCCACGCAAGUAAGUGAUUUAAGGAUUUCGAGCUAUGCUUUUAGAUGAAAACGGAAAUGGGUUAUGGAUAAAUUACUAUUAUAACCCGGGUUGGGACGUUAUGGGAUGUUAGGGAAGGUUUCGGGACUGCCCGAGACCAUUUCUGGUUGGAAAAAAAAAGAGACCCGGGAACAAAAAAAAAAAUUUUGGUCAAACAGCGUCUGCACACCAGAGAGCCCGUCGGCGACGGCCUUUAUGCCGUCGGCGACGGCACCCCUCCACCUGACGCGCUAACUGUCUGUCUACGGGCAAUGUUUAGCGACGGGACCUUCCCGAGCCCGUCGGCGACGCACCAUGUGCCGUCGGCGACGGGUCCCCCUUAUCUGCUUAUGCUGAAAUUGUUUGUUUAUUAGGCUAAGGUCCUUAAUUCAGUUCUAGCAUUCAUUAAACACUAAGAACACCCCAGAUUGAUUAUGAAGCUAGGAAAUUCAAGACAACUAUCGUGUUUUAAUGAUGAAUGUGUGGGAAGUUAUGUAUGCGAACGAAUGAAAUAAGUAACACAUCUAGAAUGUUUGUAAAGAAAGAUUGGGUAAGUUUAUAAAAAUUUUACGCUAUCAUUGAGAAAGUACCUCCGUAUGAAUAAGUACGAUAUGUUAAAUGUGUACGAAUGAACGAGAUUGAAUGCGGAAAUGAAUAAAAUAAUGAUGACUAGGGAUUGGUUUUCGCAAAGAAGUUUGAAAUCUUGAUAAGUAUGAAUAAUAUGUCAGGAUGCUAGUUUCAAAUUAUGGACUAUGGGAUCUGUGAUUAGGCAAUUUCUCACAACAUGCUUAUGUAAGUCGUCCAAUGUCACUUGAAUGAAUGAACGAACGAAGAAUAAAACUAGAUGGGUUAUAGAAGAAAUGAAAGAGGUUUCGGGGACGAAACCUUCUUUAAGGGGGAUAGAUUUGUAACACCCCAAAACUCGAAUUAUUAAAUUCGUUAGUAGGUUACCUUGGGUAAUUAGAUGAAGUACAACAACUAAGUUAUUAAACUUAGUUAAAUGUCUAAUAAAUAAGUAAAGGAAUGAAGUUUGUGGCAACUAUGAUGAUGUGUUAGAGUUGAGGGACCUAGAUUGCCAUAAUGUAAACUAAAACUUAAUAAAAAAAAAAGAAAGAAAAAUAAAACCACAACACACACUGUGCGUGUGUGUGGUCGAUCGCACAAGGCAGAGGGAAAGGGGUAAACCCUAAUUCUCAAGAAAUCUCCAAAUUGAAAAGGGAAUUGAAGGUUUUUAGGAUGCAUGUAGCAAGAUUAUCGAUCUCCUAAGUGUUCUUCACUAUCAAGUAAGUUAAAUUAUGUGUUUUAAUGAUAGUUGAUGAAGUGGGUUUUAGUCAAUCCGUGAAAUCUUAUGAAAUUGAACAUGUAUAUAUGUUAGAUUCACCAUAUAGAAGGUGUCUUGUGCUUGAAUUUGAAUGUAUUGAAGAUUUGAGGAAAAACCCACUUGUUCAAGUAGCAUGGUAAUCUUGUAGUUGUAUAAGUUAAGUAAUUUUGAUGAAUGAAUGAUUAUGUACUAAUGUAUCGUUAGCUAAUCAUGUUGUAGGAGGUAUGAAUCAUGUGAAAUUGGUCGAAUGAUUGAGUUUUUGUAGUUACUAAUGGGUUAUGCAUAAAACUCAUGUACAUGAUGCUUAAAAUGUUGUACGCCCGCCAAGUGUUUGAUAAAAUGCCUACAAAGUUUGUGUAAAAUAGUUAGUAAAUUCGUCACUUUUGACAGCCUUAGAUAGUCAUCUUGUAAAGGCCGUAUCACAUUCGUUAUUAGGAGUUAGACAACGAGCCUUAUAUCGUUGAAAAGGUUGUUUCGCAUAUUACAUUUCAUAUUUGGUCAUAAGAGGCUGGUUAUGAGAUUAAGUGGGUCAAAACAGCAUGAAAAGUUAGUAAAUUCGUCACUUUUGACAGCCUUAGAUAGUCAUCUUGUAAAGGCCGUAUCUCAUUCGUUAUUAGGAGUUAGACAACGAGCCUUAUAUCGUUGAAAAGGUUGUUUCGCAUAUUACAUUUCAUAUUUGGUCAUAAGAGGCUGGUUAUGAGAUUUAGUGGGUCAAAACAGCAUGAAAAGUUAGUAAAUUCGUUUUGACAGCAAGCUGUUUGGAAGCAUUUCAGCUUCUGUGCUGAUUUUGUAAAAAUCAUAUAAAAUCAUAGGAAUGUCCGAUUGUUACGAUCUUUAUAUGCUUAGAAAGAUCUCUGAGUGUAGAUCAUUUCAUAUUUAAACAUGAAGAACUUAAUCAGAAGAUAAAUGGGUUAAAAAGUGUCGUGAACAGCUGCUGCGCAGAAAGUGGCUGCACAAAUUUUAGUAUAUAUAUUCAGUAAAAUUAGUUGUAUUGUUAUGCACACUUGUAUGAAUCAUGAACUACUGAUUUUAAUAAAUUAUUAGUAAGUUAUUUGAUUGUUUUAAGUGCCUAAAACACUUACCAACUAGUUUAUGCAUAUAAUUGCACCAACGGGUCGAAACGGGUUGUUGAUAGAAAAUAGUAGAAUGGAUGUGUAAAAAACCAAGGUGUUAAGAAAUGGUAUGAAAUGUUUAACAUAUGAAGCAAGUUGCCUAACUUAGAAAAGGUUAUCAUUCUAAGUAUGGAAUUUUGAAAGAAUAACGAACAUGAUGUAAAUACAUAAUUAUGCAUGCUAGAAGCUCAUGUAUGACUGUUGUGAUGAUGGAAUGGUAAAUUGUUAGAUUGAUUAGCAUUGUAGUAUUAUGAUACAUGUUGAACUCGAUAAGCGAUUGACACGUGAAUAGAAGUGUGAUUAGUGGUGCGUAUGAUUAUGUAUACUAACUAUUGAAUGGAUGUAAUGGAAUGAGAUAAUAGGGACGUGUCAAGGAGAGGUCAAGCAUAGGAGGAUAACGGGUCAAGAUAAGGCAAGGUGACAAAUACACUUAAUGGAGUACUCGAGGUAAGUGAAUUUCGAUUCACUUUUUAGUAGGUUUAAUAGAUUUUAAUACUUAUGUUUACGAAACAUCAUGAAAGAACAUGUAAUAAUCAGAAGUACAAAGCCAAUAAUGCCUCAUUAUUGAGGAAGGUUGUAUUAAGCCGAAAGUAAAUUGGUGGGUUUAAACGGGUCGAAUUUUAUGUGCAUAUGUUGCGUAAUGUAAUGAAAUUCGUUAUGGUUAAGACCUUGGGUAGGAAUUUUUAGUCAUUAUGUAAGGGGAACACUUCCCGGACCAUUAGGAACAAGUUUUAUAUGAUUCGGUUGUCGGUUAGUUAAUGAACGGAUUGUUUCAUGUUAGUGUAGGAAAUUUUAUAAGUAUAUGUGUAUAGGAACCCAAAGGGCACGUGGGUUGAAUCAUAGAUUAUUUAUACUAUGUAAAGUUGUGAAUGUGACAUUCCGGCAUAAACCUACAUGUAAAAGAAGCUUGUGUAUAUAUUCGUGAUUAAUUGAUUGUGCGUAGGAAGGAACAUUGGCAUGUAUGAAGGUACGCAUGUAUAUGUAAGUGUGUAUAUAUAUAUAUAUAUAUGUAUGUAUGUAUGAUAAUAAGUACGUAGGUGUGAAUGUAUGUGUGAAUGAAUGUUCAAUGCUUAAGACAUAUGCAUGAACGUUAUCAAAGUGUUCGAGUAUUUAUGGUUACUAAUGAUGUGCGUUGAGUUGGAAUGUAAUGUAGGUAUGGGAUCGUUGGCUUCAUGAAGAAAUGGAGCUGGAUUUGGAUAAGAGUAUUUAAGAAAGCGCUUGGACAAUUCCACGACUACUUUAUAGAAUGCUCUACGAAAUUCUAUUAUAUAGUUUAAUGUUGUAUGGUAUGUUAAUGACUAAUGGUUUGGUUGUACGUGGUGUCCACAGGUAUCGCUUGGGUUUUCUCUACAUUUAUCGAAGUGAAGCGGACUUAGUUCGAGUUGAGAGCAAGGAUUGUACGGGGUAGAAUGGUCACAUAGUGUAACUCAUAUAGAUUUUGAAGUAUUUGAACCUUCAUGUGUUUGAUAUGUCUAUUAAAGAACGAAAUUUUUGGGCUCU